UGGGGAAUUUUGGACAAUGGGCGCAAGCCUGAUCCAGCAAUGCCGCGUGCAGGAUGAAGGCCUUCGGGUUGUAAACUGCUUUUGUACGGAACGAAAAAGCUCUCUCUAAUACAGGGGGUGAAUGACGGUACCGUAAGAAUAAGCACCGGCUAACUACGUGCCAGCAGCCGCGGUAAUACGUAGGGUGCAAGCGUUAAUCGGAAUUACUGGGCGUAAAGCGUGCGCAGGCGGUUUUGUAAGACAGAGGUGAAAUCCCCGGGCUUAACCUGGGAACUGCCUUUGUGACUGCAAAGCUGGAGUGCGGCAGAGGGGGAUGGAAUUCCGCGUGUAGCAGUGAAAUGCGUAGAUAUGCGGAGGAAUACCGAUGGCGAAGGCAAUCCCCUGGGCCUGCACUGACGCUCAUGCACGAAAGCGUGGGGAGCAAACA
rnacentral:rRNA from 1 species